CUGCAGGGAGUUUGAUUUGGGGAUGCAUUUGAACAUGGGUUUAAAACUGUUAGGUUGCAGUUAGAAUGGUAAUUGUGUUUUUUGGUAUGAAGUGUAUCUGUUUGUGGAUGAAUCAAGGCUGAUGUUUGGGAUAACGGUUAGAAAUGGUAUUGUUGUGUGAAUUUAUGGUGAGCUUUGAAUAUGUUGAAUGUUUGGAUGGAUGUAUGGCUGUUAGUUUUCUGUUAGAGUUAGUUAUCAAAAUGUGUUGAUUGGUGUAUGUAUGUUUUUCGGUUCUCUUAAUGUGGUACUGAUGUGUGCAGGUGCUUCGAUGGACUUGUGAGUCUUGUAGGCGUGUGGUGAACCGGUUUGCAUCAGUUGGCAAUAUGUUGGUUGCAAGCAAAAUUGGUUUUCUUUCUUUGGCAGAGCACAUGGAUCUUGACAUAGUCAAAGUGGCGUGAGGUCAAAGAUGGGAAGAUGAAUGGAAACGGCUAAUGGCAUAGGAAAGUGCAAGUGAAGGGUUUUUAGCAAAACAUGAAGCAACUGUAUCUUGUUUGUUGGAAAUUUCUAUGUAAUUGUAAUGUGUAGAUGUGUGAUAAAGUUGUAAUUUCUUUGAAUGUAAGAUGGCUUGAAUUUUUGUAAUGAGUUUUGAAUGGGUCUUUUUGUAUGGAUUCGUAGAUUUGAUGAAUGGCAUUUGAAUCAAUGGACAUGUGAUUGAACAUUUGGAUUUGGGCUUUGGAUGGAAAUGGGUUUGUACAUGAAUCUUGUAAGAGAUAUUUUUGUAAUUUUUGUGAAACUGCUUUGUAAUGCAUAUUUGUAUGAGAUGGAAUUGGUUUGUA